rnacentral:rRNA from 1 species
GGAGGGUGCAAGCGUUGUCCGGAAUCACUGGGCGUAAAGGGUGCGUAGGUGGUGGGGUAAGUCGGAUGUGAAAGCUCGGAGCUCAACUCCGAAAUGGCAUUGGAAACUACCCUGCUAGAGGAUUGGAGGGGGGACUGGAAUACUUGGUGUAGCAGUGAAAUGCGUAGAUAUCAAGUGGAACACCAGUGGCGAAGGCGAGUCCCUGGACAAUACCUGACACUGAGGCUCGAAAGCGUGGGGAGCAAACAGGAUUAGAUACCCUGGUAGUCCACGCCCUAAACUAUGUCAACUAGACGUUGGGUUCUUUAAUGAACUUAGUGUCGAAGCUAACGCGUUAAGUUGACCGCCUGGGGAGUACGGCCGCAAGGUUG